rnacentral:rRNA from 1 species
GACAGAGGAUGCGAACGUUGCUCGGAAUUACUGGGCGUAAAGCGCGCGCAGGCGGCCUCGUAAGUCGGGUGUGAAAGUCCAGGGCUCAACCCUGGAAAGCCGGUGGAUACUGUCGGGCUAGAGUCCGGAAGAGGCGAGUGGAAUUCCUGGUGUAGCGGUGGAAUGCGUAGAUAUCGGGAGGAACACCGGUGGCGAAGGCAGCCUUCUGGGCCAACACUGACGCUCAUGCACGAAAGCGUGGGGAGCAAACAGG